CGCUCAGAUCAACGCUGGCGGCGUGCCUAACACAUGCAAGUCGAACGAGAAAGGGACUUCGGUCCUGAGUAAAGUGGCGCACGGGUGAGUAACACGUGACUAACCUACCCUUGAGUGGGGAAUAACUAGGAGAAAUCUUAGCUAAUACCGCAUAAUACCUACGGGUCAAAGGAGCAAUUCGCUUAAGGAGGGGGUCGCGGCAGAUUAGUUAGUUGGCGGGGUAAUGGCCCACCAAGACAGUGAUCUGUAUCCGGCCUGAGAGGGCGCACGGACACACUGGAACUGAAACACGGUCCAGACUCCUACGGGAGGCAGCAGUGGGGAAUUUUGCGCAAUGGGGGAAACCCUGACGCAGCAACGCCGCGUGGAGGAUGAAGUCCCUUGGGACGUAAACUCCUUUCGAUCGGGACGAUAAUGACGGUACCGAGAGAAGAAGCCCCGGCUAACUUCGUGCCAGCAGCCGCGGUAAUACGAGGGGGGCGAGCGUUGUUCGGAAUUAUUGGGCGUAAAGGGUGCGUAGGCGGUUCGGUAAGUCUUGUGUGAAAUCUUCGGGCUCAACUCGAAGUCUGCACCAGAAACUGCCGGGCUUGAGUAUGGGAGAGGUGAGUGGAAUUUCCGGUGUAGCGGUGAAAUGCGUAGAUAUCGGAAGGAACACCUGUGGCGAAAGCGGCUCACUGGACCAUAACUGACGCUGAUGCACGAAAGCUAGGGGAGCAAACAGGAUUAGAUACCCUGGUAGUCCUAGCCCUAAACGAUGAUCGCUUGGUGUGACGGGUACCCAAUCCCGCCGUGCCGAAGCUAACGCGUAAGCGAUCCGCCU
rnacentral:rRNA from 1 species